UCUCUCAAAAAUAAAAUAUUAAAAAAAAAGUGAAAAUGCAGUUUUUCUUAAAGUUUAGAGAAGGGUAAAGAAAAGAAAAUAUUUUAAGAUUAAACUACUGGCUUUUCUAAUUAAGGAAAUAGCACUUGAGCCUGUAUUUCAGUCCUAAUUUAAGAGAGAAGACCACUAAAAAUCUUAAGUGCAAGAGAGUAAAAUAACCAUAAAGAAAUGAGAACACAAAAAAGAAAAAUGAAGUGGAGAAAUGGAGACUUACACAAGUGCUGGAGAGGGUGAGAUGGAAAAAUGAUCUAGAUAGAGUGGAGCACUUUAUACACUAGUUUUUUUUUUUUUUUGUUUUUUGUUUUUUUUUUUGCCUUAAAAGUAAGUCACUUAGCCAAGCUUUACUUUCUAUCUUCCAUUAGACUGGGCUCUGGUUUGAAAGGGAUGGUCACAGUUAAGAUCCAAAAGGGGACUGGUACUGCAUUCUUCUGGAGUUUUAGGUAGGCAAAGAGUUGACUUCUCCACCUCUGGAAAAGGACAAAUCCAACACCUAACCGAUCAGUUCUGCACUGUCAAAAACUUUACAAUUCAAAAUAAAGUUUUGCUACCCAGUUUUAUAUCUGAACCACCUACACCACCAGAAGGGGGACCACAAGAAAGGAAGGAGCCAGAAAACAAGACUACCAAGAAUGCCCAUGGACAAAUUGCAAACAAUGACAGACUGGUUGACUCAUCAUUUCAGGGCUAAGUGAAUUGUGGGAACUGAACUCAAACUAUCCCUCCCCAGUGGGCAGAGCCAAAUGGCCCCAUCCCACUGAGGCUGGAGUUGGCCAUAUGACUUGCUCUGGCCAGUGGAGUAUUAGCACAUGUGACGCAUGCAGAAGCAUAAACUGUGUUUGUGUGAUUAGGCUUGCCUUGGUUGUGCUUUUGUCGUCAUCACUGAGAACUUCUGGACAACUUCUGCAGUCUAGUCCAAGUCCGAAGAACACAGAUGGAGCAGACCCGAGCUCAACUCAUGGCAAGUAGUCAAGCUCAGCCAGAUCUCCAGCUUGAAGCAGUCACCCAGCCAAGCCUGUCAGCCAACCUGCAAAAGCAUGAGUGAGAACGAUUAUUUUAAGUUGAGCAGAUUUGGGGCAGCAAUAGCAACUGAAACCUAAGUAUAUGUCUUUCCAUGAUGAGAUGAGAACUCCUAGAGGAUACCACCAUGCCUUCUAGGUUCACUUUCUGCCCAUCCCCACCCUCAAGUAUAUGGCAGGCAAGCAAUAAAUAUUUGUUGAGUGAAUAUUUGAAAAACCCCAUUAGGCUCAUCUAAAUUCUAAAACAGCUUUUGUGAGAAGUCAAGUUUUUAAAGAAGGGUAAAAACUAGUCAGAAUACUAAUUAGCCAUUAAAAGAUAAAGAAGUUUGAAAAAAAAAAGUUUGCAUGUAAAAAUGAAAGACACUUGAUUUAUUGCAUUAAAAAACUUUAUUUCAUUUAAAAGGUCCAAUAUAAGCCAAAUUAAACCCCAAAUUGACAGCUACACUUAGAGAUCUCCUGAACUAAAUGGCACUGUUUGAGAU